rnacentral:rRNA from 1 species
AGAGUUUGAUCCAGGCUCAGGAUGAACGCUGGCGGCGUGCUUAAUACAUGCAAGUCGAACGAAGCACCUUGGACAGAAUCCUUCGGGAGGAAGACCAUUGUGACUGAGUGGCGGACGGGUGAGUAACGCGUGGGUAACCUGCCUUGUACAGGGGGAUAACAGUUGGAAACGACUGCUAAUACCGCAUAAGCGCACAGUACCGCAUGGUACGGUGUGAAAAACUCCGGUGGUACAAGAUGGACCCGCGUCUGAUUAGCUUGUUGGUGAGGUAACGGCCCACCAAGGCGACGAUCAGUAGCCGACUUAAGAGAGUGAUCGGCCACAUUGGGACUGAGACACGGCCCAAACUCCUACGGGAGGCAGCAGUAGGGAAUAUUGCACAAUGGGGGAAACCCUGAUGCAGCGACGCCGCGUGAAGGAAGAAGUAUUUCGGUAUGUAAACUUCUAUCAGCAAGGAAGAAAAUGACGGUACUUGACUAAGAAGCCCCGGCUAAAUACGUGCCAGCAGCCGCGGU